rnacentral:rRNA from 1 species
AUUGAACGCUGGCGGCAGGCUUAAAACAUGCAAGUCGAGCGAGCGGAGGACGGGUGAGUAAUGUCUGGGAAACUGCAUGAUGGAGGGGGAUAACUACUGGAAACGGUAGCUAAUACCGCAUAACAUCAGAUGGGCCCAGAUGGGAUUAGCUAGUAGGUGGGGUAAUGGCUCACCUAGGCGACGAUCCCUAGCUGGUCUGAGAGGAUGACCAGCCACACUUGGACUGAGAAACGGUCCAGACUCCUACGGUAGGCAGCAGUGUGGAAUAUUGCACAAUGGGCGCAAGCCUGAUGCAGCCAUGCCGCGUGUGUGAAGACGGCCUUCGGGUUGUAAAGCACUUUCAGCGAGGAGGCGUUACUCGCAGAAGAAGCACCGGCUAACUCCGUGCCAGCCGCCGCGGUAAUUC